AUCUAGAUGACGAGUCCCAGGUGGGACGAAAUGCACAUCCUGGAU
rfam:Trichobilharzia regenti genome assembly, scaffold: TRE_scaffold0006372